rnacentral:lncRNA from 1 species
GAGCUAAUGAACGACCGCGCUCCGCGUCCGUGAUUAAGAUUUAAGAGGUGUGGGUGGGCGGCGCCGGGGGGCUCGGCGGCGGCGGUGAGUCAGCUGACCUCUCAGAAAGCCCUUCACCUCGGCCGCCUUCACGCUGACACCAUUACCCACAGAAACAAGGCAGCUUCCCGUUAGCUCCAGCGCAAACACCCGCGAUGCAAAACGAACGCGCUAGCGCGUCACCGAUAAGCGAGGCGGCACGCGCCACCUAAACACUUUCACAGUGUCAGAGCGAGAAUCUGUUCACGCGCCCCGCUCGGCCCGCGCGUGCGGCACCGAUGGUUGAGCUCGUGACCCGUGAGUUCUUUUCCCUCCUCUCCUCUUGGUGGGCAGCCAUCGCGUGCCGCUAACUCACAGUGACAGAUCCACUUCUUGGUGCUUCUCUUCACAGGCAUGAGGCCAACACGCACACACACACACACACACACACACACACACACACACACACACACACACACACACACACACACACACACACACACACACACACACAUCUAAAUAGGUAAUUAUCUGACUUGUAGGAGUGGGAAGGUGGCAGCCAGUAUGUUCCAGCCUAAAACUAAAGCCUCUACUCAGCAAAGGAAUAUUAAUUGGCUUCUUCAAGUCGACAGGCAGUAAAGGAAGGAGAGGGCUGGAGAGAGAGAGAGAGCGAGCGAGAGGAAGAGAGAGUUGCCCAUCAACAAGCAAUGUGGGGAAAAAAAGCUUCCCAGCAAGGAAAAUCAAACGCAACGGCGAUCUGGGGAAUUUUUAGGCCUCGACACGACGUGGCUCCCAGGUAGCGGCGUCCAAACCGCCCGGCGCGAGGAAGAACAUUACCCACGAGCCACCGCGGGCGCCGCGCCGCCAGCCCUCGUUGGAAUGCAGAGCGGCGGCGGCGCCGCGCUGAUAAUUGCCUGCUGAGCUCCAGAUCAAUUCUGUAAUUCGCUAUCAAAACUCCGCCGUGUCACGUGUGAAAGUGUACAAUGAAUAGAGAAAGAAAG